rnacentral:rRNA from 1 species
AUUGAACGCUGGCGGCAUGCUUUACACAUGCAAGUCGAACGGUAACAGGCCGCAAGGUGCUGACGAGUGGCGAACGGGUGAGUAAUGCAUCGGAACGUGCCCAGUCGUGGGGGAUAACGCAGCGAAAGCUGCGCUAAUACCGCAUACGAUCUAUGGAUGAAAGCGGGGGACCGUAAGGCCUCGCGCGAUUGGAGCGGCCGAUGUCAGAUUAGGUAGUUGGUGGGGUAAAGGCUCACCAAGCCAACGAUCUGUAGCUGGUCUGAGAGGACGACCAGCCACACUGGGACUGAGACACGGCCCAGACUCCUACGGGAGGCAGCAGUGGGGAAUUUUGGACAAUGGGCGCAAGCCUGAUCCAGCAAUGCCGCGUGCAGGAAGAAGGCC